rnacentral:rRNA from 1 species
AGAACGAACGCUGGCGGCAGGCUUAACACAUGCAAGUCGAACGGUUGUAGCAAUACAGCAGUGGCAGACGGGUGAGUAACACGUGGGAACCUUCCUAGGGGUACGGAACAACUCAGGGAAACUUGAGCUAAUACCGUAUACGUCCGUGAGGAGAAAGAUUUAUCGCCCUUAGACGGGCCCGCGUAGGAUUAGGUAGUUGGUGGGGUAAUGGCCUACCAAGCCUACGAUCCUUAGCUGAUCUGAGAGGAUGAUCGGCCACACUGGGACUGAGACACGGCCCAGACUCCUACGGGAGGCAGCAGUGGGGAAUCUUGGACAAUGGGCGCAAGGCCUGAUCCAGCCAUGCCGCGUGAGUGAAGAAGGCCUUCGGGUUGUAAAGGCUCUUUUACCAGGACGAUAAUGACGGUACCUGGAGAAUAAGCCCGCAACUUCGUGCCAGCAGCCGC